GAGACAAUCCAGGUAUACAAGGUACAGCGAGGUCUGGCCCAGGGGCUGACCUCAGACUGUGCUUUACACUCUGUGUCUUACUGCAUCAUUUCUGGAAGAUUAUUUCAGAAGGUGGUAAUUAUAGAGAGAAAAUCAGGGCUAAAGCAGGAUGAGAACUUGCUUGGAUAUUCUGUUGAGGAAAGAGAGGUGGAAGGAGCAAAGGGCUCAGCACCCAAAACUCUGGGAAUCACUCAACUUUAGGGAAAGAAAGCAAACAGCACUCUUAAAAUGAGUUAAGUGGAAGACAUAGGGGCAAAGGAGGUAACUUCUAUAAAGAUGGAAGCUGCUUCUGGCUCAUCAGCCAUCGUUGAUGAUAACCAGUCCUACAAUUCUCAUUAGGUGGUUCUGUUACCCCACUAUUUCCUUGGGGUCUGUUGUGCUAAGGAAAGGAUUGGUUGGGUAAAGAGGUGUGGCACAAAUAACCCUCAGGAGUACAGGCCACAGAGCUAAUGAAGGGCCCCAAGGAAAGAAAGACCUGCCCAUCAGCGAUGAAUUCUCUCCCCUCAUGCCACAGACCUGAGGGCACGUGACCCAGGAAUGUGCAUCCAAAGAUAAUACUACCUUCAGAGAACUCUACUUAUAGGCUUUGGUUUUUCAAGAAAAAGUAAAAGAUUCAUGAUUCACUGAGCUCUUUCCUUGUGAGAAGAAAGACCACUCUUAUGUGCUGAAGUUGGACAGCAGUUCCCGAGGAAGCUGAAUUCUAGCUGUUUAUUGUUAUUGGGUCUUGUACUAUGCCCUUUAUGUUGUCAUUAAUCAAUAAAUACGUGUGGAACAAAUGAUUAGCUAGA